rnacentral:rRNA from 1 species
AACGAACGCUGGCGGCGUGCUUAACACAUGCAAGUCGAGUGCGCGCCUGUAGCAAUACAGGUGGCGCACGGCGCACGGGUGCGUAACACGUGGGCAAUCUGCCCUCUGAUGGGGAAUAACCCGCCGAAAGGCGGGCUAAUACCGCAUAAAAUUCCUUGGACUUAUGUUCGAGGACUCAAAGGCGUAAGUCGUCGGAGGANGAGCCCGCGCACGAUUAACUAGUUGGUAGGGUAAUGGCCUACCAAGGCUUUGAUCGUUAGCUGGUCUGANAGGAUGGCCAGCCACACUGGAACUGANACACGGUCCAGACUCCUACGGGAGGCAGCAGUGGGGAAUAUUGNACAAUGGGGGCAACCCUGAUCCAGCCAUGCCGCGUGAGUGAUGAAGGCCCUAGGGUUGUAAAGCUCUUUUGUGCGGGAAGAUAAUGACGGUACCGCAAGAAUAAGCCCCGGCUAACUUCGUGCCAGCAGCCGCGGUAAUACGAAGGGGGCUAGCGUUGCUCGGAAUCACUGGGCGUAAAGGGUGCGUAGGCGGGUUUUUAAGUCANGGGUGAAAUCCUGGAGCUCAACUCCAGAACUGCCUUUGAUACUGAAGAUCUUGAGUCCGGUAGAGGUGAGUGGAACUGCAAAUGUACAGGUGAAAUUCGUAGAUAUUCGCAAGAACACCAGUGGCGAAGGCGGCUCACUGGCCCGGUACUGACGCUGAGGCACGAAAGCGUGGGGAGCAACAGGAUUAGAUACCCUGGUAGUCCACGCCGUAGACGAUGAAUGCCAGCCGUUAGUGGGUUUACUCACUAGUGGCGCAGCUAACGCUUUAA